rnacentral:rRNA from 1 species
GACGAACGCUGGCGGCGUGCUUAACACAUGCAAGUCGAACGGAAAGGCCCUGCUUUUGUGGGGUGCUCGAGUGGCGAACGGGUGAGUAACACGUGAGUAACCUGCCCUUGACUUUGGGAUAACUUCAGGAAACUGGGGCUAAUACCGGAUAGGAGCUCCUGCUGCAUGGUGGGGGUUGGAAAGUUUCGGCGGUUGGGGAUGGACUCGCGGCUUAUCAGCUUGUUGGUGGGGUAGUGGCUUACCAAGGCUUUGACGGGUAGCCGGCCUGAGAGGGUGACCGGCCACAUUGGGACUGAGAUACGGCCCAGACUCCUACGGGAGGCAGCAGUGGGGAAUAUUGCACAAUGGGCGGAAGCCUGAUGCAGCAACGCCGCGUGCGGGAUGACGGCCUUCGGGUUGUAAACCGCUUUCGCCUGUGACGAAGCGUGAGUGACGGUAAUGGGUAAAGAAGCACCGGCUAACUACGUGCCAGCAGCCGCGGUGAUACGUAGGGUGCGAGCGUUGUCCGGAUUUAUUGGGCGUAAAGGGCUCGUAGGUGGUUGAUCGCGUCGGAAGUGUAAUCUUGGGGCUUAACCCUGAGCGUGCUUUCGAUACGGGUUGACUUGAGGAAGGUAGGGGAGAAUGGAAUUCCUGGUGGAGCGGUGGAAUGCGCAGAUAUCAGGAGGAACACCAGUGGCGAAGGCGGUUCUCUGGGCCUUUCCUGACGCUGAGGAGCGAAAGCGUGGGGAGCGAACAGGCUUAGAUACCCUGGUAGUCCACGCUGUAAACGGUGGGUACUAGGUGUGGGGUCCAUUCCACGGGUUCCGUGCCGUAGCUAACGCUUUAAGUACCCCGCCUGGGGAGUACGGCCGCAAGGCUAAAACUCAAAGGAAUUGACGGGGCCCCGCACAAGCGGCGGAGCAUGCGGAUUAAUUCGAUGCAACGCGUAGAACCUUACCUGGGUUUGACAUGGAUCGGGAGUGCUCAGAGAUGGGUGUGCCUCUUUUGGGGUCGGUUCACAGGUGGUGCAUGCCUGUCGUCAGCUCAUGUCGUGAGAUGUUGGGUUAAGUCCCGCAACGAGCGCAACCCUUGUUCACUGUUGCCAGCACGUUAUGGUGGGGACUCAGUGGAGACCGCCGGGGUCAACUCGGAGGAAGGUGGGGAUGACGUCAAGUCAUCAUGCCCCUUAUGUCCAGGGCUUCACGCAUGCUACAAUGGCUGGUACAGAGAGUGGCGAGCCUGUGAGGGUGAGCGAAUCUCGGAAAGCCGGUCUCAGUUCGGAUUGGAGUCUGCAACUCGACCUCAUGAAGUCGGAGUCGCUAGUAAUCGCAGAUCAGCAACGCUGCGGUGAAUACGUUCCCGGG